ACACCUUCGCACUGGAAGGACCCUGAGUCAGACCAGAUAUGGGCACAAGCGAGAUGAGUGGCCAGAGACAACCUGGAAAGCUGGCCCCAUUCUCGGUCUUUCUACUGAAUUCCUUCUCCAAAGAAGACAAGGACCGGGGUCCUUCUUCCAGCCACUCCACCGCCAGAACCAGAGUACUCGGAACAGUGCCCGGCACAAAGAGUGCCUUUGAGUUCCAGAGAACCUUGCCUGCCUGAGCUAAAGUACAGAGCUAUUCGAUGACUUCUAUUCCGGAAUGAAGUGUGAGCAAGGGGAGGACUCAAAUCUUUAGCAUCAAGAUGUCAAGGGAAGCCAAGAUCCGCCCAGAAGGCUUUUAUGGCAUAUGUUCGGCUGCCGAAGUGUCACACAAGGCUACAUGUUCACGAGAGGAAGAUACGAUUAGUCAUUCAAGGCCAAAUGUGCGGCUAAGGCUCCCCCUUCUAGCUCAUCUGAAAGUGUCCCCAGGCUUGCCAGAGAAGGUGGGUUGCUAUGGUGAUGUAGGAGCUGAGACAGAAUUUGGAAAAGGAUUAUAAAAUGUUCCAAGAGAAGAAAGGCUUCUUACUAUUUAAAAACACUCGGUCUGAGAAUAGGCAGGUGUCUUUCGCUGCCUGUUUCCCAUAACGUCGCUGUCCUCGUGACACAAAUCAAAAUUUCCUAAUUUUUAAGACAAAGCAGUAUCUUAUUUUACAACGUAACUCAGGACCCCAAAAGAUCAAAACCACAGAAACAAAGAUCUUUCUCCUAGCACAUCCCUCACUGUGAGCUAACUCCUGACACAAUUUCACUGUCUGCACAUGUAUUUGAGAAACUGAUUUAACGGAUGCGAUUUGCUGACUGCUGUUGCAGACGCCCAAGGUCUGGGCUGCUCUGGGCCUCAUGCGUCACAGAGGAUAGUAGGAUCGCAGUGUUUCCAAGGACUGUCACUCAAUAAGCAUGAAAUUACGUUUAAUCACAAAUAUAAUGUAAAUGAAUGUAAUCAGGUAAUUAGAAUGUGUAAGUGGCGUGAUAUUUGCAACACGGAGCAGUGCGCUUAUAAUGUUGUGUAAAAUUAUGUUAAAAAUCCUUAUUGAACUUUGUUAUAAAAAGGCAGUGUUCAGAGAAAGCAGAUGAUUUUAAAGUUCAACAUCUUGAUCGCUUCAACAUUUCAUUUAUGAAAUGCUGUGUUUAGCCAAUACUUUUAACAAUUUGCUAAGUAUAUUUUGUAAAAAUCAAACAAUUUCAUAGUUAGUGGAGUGCUAAAAAGCCCUGGGAUCCGUUCUCCUGGCUGCAUACAGCUCGAACAGCUGAAACCAUUUUAAGAAGAUGCUUCAUUAUAAAUCAUUGAAAAUAGGAAUUCACAACAGAAAUGCUGACACAAUCCUUUCUUCCAAAUGAGGGCCUGAAGUACCACCGGAUUCCUGAUGUGACCGAAUGACAAGAUCUGACGUGCCUGCUCGGGCAGAAGUGACGCAGACAGCUCUGCUCGGCGAGGGCCGUCUGUGCGGCGCGAUCUGGUUGCUUCCAAGUGAAGUGACCCAACAGGGGCCGCACCCGCUUUUCCAAGUGUGUCUGUGUAUAAACAUCCUGAUGUUGUGCGGUGGCUUUCAAGGUGCUUCCAGGAGCUCGGGGCUGCCCUGGGGCCUCUCGUCUGCAGCAGCCCUGAGUCCCUCAGUCAGAGCACCUGUGCCCCCAUCUGCUCAUCUGGGGAGAGAGUGCUGAUGCAACCUCUGGGAAUUCGCUGGUAUUUGGCGGAAGCAGCACCAGGUUAGCGCAGGAUCGGGGCCAACGCUGGGCUGAUGAAGGUAGGACUGGGGGUCCUCGGAGAGGACAGGGGCUGAGCACACCCCGAAGGGAGACAGGCUGGUCGGCACAGCCAGGAAGAAGCAGAUGCUGCAGCCCGGCUGAGAAGUGGAGGCCCGCAGGGCAGAGCAGAGUCGCUGAAGGUCCAAGGCUACGACCCUCUGUGUGUCUCUGUAUCUUGAAUUCAGAGAAAACCACACAGGAUGAGGUAUUAACACAAGCUGACUAUAAACGAAGUCAUAGUUUUUCUGAUAAUCAUGAGGUAAGUCUCCAAAUGAUUCGGUUCUCCUCCUUUGGGGUGUUUGAAGUUGACUUUCCUACCCCCUGGGAGUUAGGGAUGGCCACGUGACUUGUUUUGGUCACUGUAGUUGAGUAGAGGGGGAUGUGUGUAUUUAACGCCUGUGUGUGAACCCACUUUCCCUUCCCAGUUGUAGUGGUUGUAAGCCCACAUUGAGGACCCCCCAGCCAAGUGCCCUGCGUGCCUGUGAUGAGACCCCCAGCCCUGCCCCCGGUCCAGCCUGAACGUGAAGUCCUCCUGUGUAGGUGCUGAGACUCGAGCUGUUUGUUACGACAGCUUAACAGCCUCCCUGACUAAUGCAGAUGGUGCAUCUGGUUCUGAUGGACCCGACAAGGAGAACUGGAUUUUCUAACUAAUGUGUGUGACGCACGUUUGCAAUAAAUUGCAUAAGGUACAUUCUGUAGCUUCAAUACACAAGGU